AGUGAACGCUGGCGGUAGGCCUAACACAUGCAAGUCGAACGGCAGCACAGGAGAGCUUGCUCUCUGGGUGGCGAGUGGCGGACGGGUGAGGAAUACAUCGGAAUCUGCCCAGUCGUGGGGGAUAACGUAGGGAAACUUACGCUAAUACCGCAUACGACCUUCGGGUGAAAGAGGGGGAUCGCAAGACCUCUCGCGAUUGGAUGAGCCGAUGUCGGAUUAGCUAGUUGGCGGGGUAAUGGCCCACCAAGGCGACCAUCCGUAGCUGGUCUGAGAGGAUGAUCAGCCACACUGGAACUGAGACACGGUCCAGACUCCUACGGGAGGCAGCAGUGGGGAAUAUUGGACAAUGGGCGCAAGCCUGAUCCAGCCAUACCGCGUGGGUGAAGAAGGCCUUCGGGUUGUAAAGCCCUUUUGUUGGGAAAGAAAUCUUUCAGGCUAAUACCCUGGGAGGAUGACGGUACCCAAAGAAUAAGCACCGGCUAACUUCGUG
rnacentral:rRNA from 1 species